rnacentral:rRNA from 1 species
UACGAAGGGGGGCUAGCGUUGCUCGGAAUUACUGGGCGUAAAGCGCACGUAGGCGGGUCAUUAAGUCGGGGGUGAAAUCCUGGAGCUCAACUCCAGAACUGCCUUCGAAACUGAUGAUCUUGAGUUCGGGAGAGGUGAGUGGAACUGCGAGUGUAGAGGUGAAAUUCGUAGAUAUUCGCAAGAACACCAGUGGCGAAGGCGGCUCACUGGCCCGAUACUGACGCUGAGGUGCGAAAGCGUGGGGAGCAAACAGG